rnacentral:rRNA from 1 species
ACAGCAGCCGCCACGGUAAUACGAAGGGUGCAAGCGUUAAUCGGAAUUACUGGGCGCAAAGCGUGCGUAGGCGGUUUGUUAAGUCUGCUGUGAAAUCCCCGGGCUCAACCUGGGAAUGGCAGUGGAUACUGGCUCGCUAGAGUGUGUCAGAGGAUGGUGGAAUUCCCGGUAUAGCGGUGAAAUGCGUAGAGAUCGGGAGGAACAUCAGUGGCGAAGGCGGCCAUCUGGGACAACACUGACGCUGAGGCACGAAAGCGUGGGGAGCAAACAGGAUUAGAUACCCGCGUAGUCCCUGUCUCUUAUAC